CCUACGUGAGGCUGCAGUGAGGCAUAUUGGUCAAUGGCCGGACGGCUGAACCAGCCAUGCCGCGUGAAGGUCAGUGCCCUAUGGGCGUUAAACUUCUUUUGUGCGGGAGCAAUAAUGGUCACGUGUGGCCAGACGAGAGUACCGUACGAAUAAGCAUCGGCUACCACCGUGCCAGCAGCCGCGGUAAUCCGGGGGAUGCAAGCGUUAUCCGGAUUUAUUGGGUUUAAAGGGUGCGUAGGCUGUGAGGUAAGUCAGCGGUGAAAUGCCCCCGCUCAACGGGGUGAAGUGCCAUUGAUACUGCCUUGCUGGAAUGCGGAUGCCGAGGGAGGAAUGUGGGGUGUAGCGGUGAAAUGCAUAGAUAUCACACAGAACACCGAUUGCGAAGGCAUCUCACGAAUCCGCGAUUGACGCUGAGGCACGAAAGCGUGGGUAUCAAACAGGAUUAGAUACCCGAGUAGUC
rnacentral:rRNA from 1 species